rnacentral:rRNA from 1 species
AGACUCCUACGGGAGGCAGCAGUUGGGAAUCUUGCGCAAUGGGCGAAAGCCUGACGCAGCAAUGCCGCGUGCGGGACGAAGGCCCUAGGGUCGUAAACCGCUUUCAGUAGGGACGAAAAUGACGGUACCUGCAGAAGAAGCUCCGGCCAACUACGUGCCAGCAGCCGCGGUGAUACGUAGGGAGCAAGCGUUGUCCGGAAUUACUGGGCGUAAAGGGCUCGUAGGUGGUUGAGUAAGUCAGAUGUGAAAUCUCAGGGCCCAACCCUGAGCCUGCAUUUGAUACUGCUCUGACUAGAGUCCGGUAGGGGAGUGCGGAACUCCUGGUGUAGCGGUGAAAUGCGCAGAUAUCAGGAAGAACACCGACAGCGAAGGCAGCACUCUGGGCCGGUACUGACACUGAGGAGCGAAAGCAUGGGUAGCAAACAGGAUUAGAUACCCUGGUAGUCCAUGCCGUAAACGUUGGGCACUAGGUGUGGGGAGAACUCAACU